rnacentral:rRNA from 1 species
GAUUGACCUCGGAUCAGGUAGGGAUACCCGCUGAACUUAAGCAUAUCAAUAAGCGGAGGAAAAGAAACCAACAGGGAUUGCCUUUAUGUAACCUUGCAGUGAAGCCGGCAAAAAGCUCAAAUUUGAAAAUCGGUGCCCCACAUAUGUCGAAUUGUUAAUUUUGGAGGGACAACUUCCGGCUGAACCACAUUCGUAAGGUUUCCCUUUGGAACAGGACGUCAUAAA